UGGGGGAUAUUGCACAAUGGGCGAAAGCCUGAUGCAGCGACGCCGCGUGGGGGAUGAAGGCUUUCGGGUUGUAAACCUCUUUCGCUAUCGAACAAGGCCCGCUUAGGGUGGGUUGAGGGUAGGUGGAGAAGAAGCGCCGGCUAACUACGUGCCAGCAGCCGCGGUAAUACGUAGGGCGCGAGCGUUGUCCGGAAUUAUUGGGCGUAAAGGGCUUGUAGGCGGCUUGUUGCGCCUGCUGUGAAAACGCGGGGCUUAACUUCGCGCGUGCAGUGGGUACGGGCAGGCUUGAGUGUGUAGGGGUGACUGGAAUUCCAGGUGUAGCGGUGGAAUGCGCAGAUAUCUGGAGGAACACCGAUGGCGAAGGCAGGUCACUGGGCCAUUACUGACGCUGAGGAGCGAAAGCAUGGGUAGCGAACAGG
rnacentral:rRNA from 1 species